UUAAGCGACUAAGCGUACACGGUGGAUGCCCUGGCAGUCAGAGGCGAUGAAGGACGUGCUAAUCUGCGAUAAGCGUCGGUAAGGUGAUAUGAACCGUUAUAACCGGCGAUUUCCGAAUGGGGAAACCCAGUGUGUUUCGACACACUAUCAUUAACUGAAUCCAUAGGUUAAUGAGGCGAACCGGGGGAACUGAAACAUCUAAGUACCCCGAGGAAAAGAAAUCAACCGAGAUUCCCCCAGUAGCGGCGAGCGAACGGGGAGCAGCCCAGAGCCUGAAUCAGUAUGUGUGUUAGUGGAAGCGUCUGGAAAGGCGCGCGAUACAGGGUGACAGCCCCGUACACAAAAAUGCACAUGCUGUGAGCUCGAUGAGUAGGGCGGGACACGUGGUAUCCUGUCUGAAUAUGGGGGGACCAUCCUCCAAGGCUAAAUACUCCUGACUGACCGAUAGUGAACCAGUACCGUGAGGGAAAGGCGAAAAGAACCCCGGCGAGGGGAGUGAAAAAGAACCUGAAACCGUGUACGUACAAGCAGUGGGAGCACGCUUAGGCGUGUGACUGCGUACCUUUUGUAUAAUGGGUCAGCGACUUAUAUUCUGUAGCAAGGUUAACCGAAUAGGGGAGCCGAAGGGAAACCGAGUCUUAACUGGGCGUUAAGUUGCAGGGUAUAGACCCGAAACCCGGUGAUCUAGCCAUGGGCAGGUUGAAGGUUGGGUAACACUAACUGGAGGACCGAACCGACUAAUGUUGAAAAAUUAGCGGAUGACUUGUGGCUGGGGGUGAAAGGCCAAUCAAACCGGGAGAUAGCUGGUUCUCCCCGAAAGCUAUUUAGGUAGCGCCUCGUGAAUUCAUCUCCGGGGGUAGAGCACUGUUUCGGCAAGGGGGUCAUCCCGACUUACCAACCCGAUGCAAACUGCGAAUACCGGAGAAUGUUAUCACGGGAGACACACGGCGGGUGCUAACGUCCGUCGUGAAGAGGGAAACAACCCAGACCGCCAGCUAAGGUCCCAAAGUCAUGGUUAAGUGGGAAACGAUGUGGGAAGGCCCAGACAGCCAGGAUGUUGGCUUAGAAGCAGCCAUCAUUUAAAGAAAGCGUAAUAGCUCACUGGUCGAGUCGGCCUGCGCGGAAGAUGUAACGGGGCUAAACCAUGCACCGAAGCUGCGGCAGCGACACUAUGUGUUGUUGGGUAGGGGAGCGUUCUGUAAGCCUGUGAAGGUGUACUGUGAGGUAUGCUGGAGGUAUCAGAAGUGCGAAUGCUGACAUAAGUAACGAUAAAGCGGGUGAAAAGCCCGCUCGCCGGAAGACCAAGGGUUCCUGUCCAACGUUAAUCGGGGCAGGGUGAGUCGACCCCUAAGGCGAGGCCGAAAGGCGUAGUCGAUGGGAAACAGGUUAAUAUUCCUGUACUUGGUGUUACUGCGAAGGGGGGACGGAGAAGGCUAUGUUGGCCGGGCGACGGUUGUCCCGGUUUAAGCGUGUAGGCUGGUUUUCCAGGCAAAUCCGGAAAAUCAAGGCUGAGGCGUGAUGACGAGGCACUACGGUGCUGAAGCAACAAAUGCCCUGCUUCCAGGAAAAGCCUCUAAGCAUCAGGUAACAUCAAAUCGUACCCCAAACCGACACAGGUGGUCAGGUAGAGAAUACCAAGGCGCUUGAGAGAACUCGGGUGAAGGAACUAGGCAAAAUGGUGCCGUAACUUCGGGAGAAGGCACGCUGAUAUGUAGGUGAAGUCCCUCGCGGAUGGAGCUGAAAUCAGUCGAAGAUACCAGCUGGCUGCAACUGUUUAUUAAAAACACAGCACUGUGCAAACACGAAAGUGGACGUAUACGGUGUGACGCCUGCCCGGUGCCGGAAGGUUAAUUGAUGGGGUCAGCGCAAGCGAAGCUCUUGAUCGAAGCCCCGGUAAACGGCGGCCGUAACUAUAACGGUCCUAAGGUAGCGAAAUUCCUUGUCGGGUAAGUUCCGACCUGCACGAAUGGCGUAAUGAUGGCCAGGCUGUCUCCACCCGAGACUCAGUGAAAUUGAACUCGCUGUGAAGAUGCAGUGUACCCGCGGCAAGACGGAAAGACCCCGUGAACCUUUACUAUAGCUUGACACUGAACAUUGAGCCUUGAUGUGUAGGAUAGGUGGGAGGCUUUGAAGUGUGGACGCCAGUCUGCAUGGAGCCGACCUUGAAAUACCACCCUUUAAUGUUUGAUGUUCUAACGUUGACCCGUGAUCCGGGUUGCGGACAGUGUCUGGUGGGUAGUUUGACUGGGGCGGUCUCCUCCUAAAGAGUAACGGAGGAGCACGAAGGUUGGCUAAUCCUGGUCGGACAUCAGGAGGUUAGUGCAAUGGCAUAAGCCAGCUUGACUGCGAGCGUGACGGCGCGAGCAGGUGCGAAAGCAGGUCAUAGUGAUCCGGUGGUUCUGAAUGGAAGGGCCAUCGCUCAACGGAUAAAAGGUACUCCGGGGAUAACAGGCUGAUACCGCCCAAGAGUUCAUAUCGACGGCGGUGUUUGGCACCUCGAUGUCGGCUCAUCACAUCCUGGGGCUGAAGUAGGUCCCAAGGGUAUGGCUGUUCGCCAUUUAAAGUGGUACGCGAGCUGGGUUUAGAACGUCGUGAGACAGUUCGGUCCCUAUCUGCCGUGGGCGCUGGAGAACUGAGGGGGGCUGCUCCUAGUACGAGAGGACCGGAGUGGACGCAUCACUGGUGUUCGGGUUGUCAUGCCAAUGGCACUGCCCGGUAGCUAAAUGCGGAAGAGAUAAGUGCUGAAAGCAUCUAAGCACGAAACUUGCCCCGAGAUGAGUUCUCCCUGACUCCUUGAGAGUCCUGAAGGAACGUUGAAGACGACGACGUUGAUAGGCCGGGUGUGUAAGCGCAGCGAUGCGUUGAGCUAACCGGUACUAAUGAACCGUGAGGCUUAACCUU
rnacentral:rRNA from 1 species